rnacentral:rRNA from 1 species
AGCGAACGCUGGCGGCAGGCCUAACACAUGCAAGUCGAACGAACCUUUCGGGGUUAGUGGCGGACGGGUGAGUAACACGUGGGAACGUGCCUUUAGGUUCGGAAUAACUCAGGGAAACUUGUGCUAAUACCGAAUGUGCCCUUCGGGGGAAAGAUUUAUCGCCUUUAGAGCGGCCCGCGUCUGAUUAGCUAGUUGGUUGAGGUAAUGGCUCACCAAGGCGACGAUCAGUAGCGGGUCUGAGAGGAUGAUCAGCCACAUUGGGACUGAGACACGGCCCAAACUCCUACGGGAGGCAGCAGUGGGGAAUCUUGCGCAAUGGGCGAAAGCCUGACGCAGCCAUGCCGCGUGAAUGAUGAAGGUCUUAGGAUUGUAAAAUUCUUUCACCGGGGACGAUAAUGACGGUACCCGGAGAAGAAGCCCCGGCUAACUUCGUG